rnacentral:rRNA from 1 species
AGAACGAACGCUGGCGGCGUGUUUAAGACAUGCAAGUCGAACGGGUUGAAGUUGUAGCAAUACCGCUUCAACCAGUGGCGCACGGGUGCGUAACACGUGAGUUACAUGCCCUGCAGUGGGGAAUAGCCCGCCGAAAGGCGGAUUAAUACCCCAUGGUCCCGCAAGGGUAAAGGUGGCGCAAGCUGCCGCUGCAGGAUUGGCUCGCGGCCUAUCAGCUUGUUGGUGAGGUAACGGCGUCACCAAGGCAACGACGGGUACCUGUCUGAGAGAUGAUCAGGCACACUGGAACUGAGACACGGUACCAGACCGACCGUACGGGUAGGCAGCGUACGUCGGAAGUAAUAA